GACGAACGCUGGCGGCGUGCUUAACACAUGCAAGUCGAGCGGAAAGGCCUCUUCGGGGGUACUCGAGCGGCGAACGGGUGAGUAACACGUGAGUAAUCUGCCCUUCACUCUGGGAUAGCCACCGGAAACGGUGAUUAAUACCGGAUACGACACGUCCAGGCAUCUGGUGCGUGUGGAAACUUUUUGGGUGGGGGAUGUGCUCGCGGCCUAUCAGCUUGUUGGUGGGGUAAUGGCCUACCAAGGCUUCGACGGGUAGCCGGCCUGGGAGGGUGACCGGGCACACUGGGACUGAGACACGGCCCAGACUCCUACGGGAGGCAGCAGUGGGGAAUAUUGGACAAUGGGCGGAAGCCUGAUCCAGCAACGCCGCGUGGGGGAUGACGGCCUUCGGGUUGUAAACCUCUUUCAGCACCGACGAAGCGAUCCUUUGGGGAGUGACGGUAGGUGCAGAAGAAGGACCGGCCAACUACGUGCCAGCAGCCGCCGUAACAC
rnacentral:rRNA from 1 species